GUGUCAGCAGCCGCGGUAAUACGAAUUGUGCGAACGUUAUUCGGAAUCACUGGGCUUAAAGGGUGCGUAGGCGGACAUGUAGGUCAGGUGUGAAAUCCCACGGCUCAACCGUGGAACUGCGCUUGAAACCCCAUGUCUUGAGGAUGUCAGAGGAGAGCGGAACUGUUGGUGGAGCGGUGAAAUGCGUUGAUAUCAACAGGAACACCGGUGGCGAAGGCGGCUCUCUGGGACAUUUCUGACGCUGAGGCACGAAAGCUAGGGUAGCGAACGGGAUUAGAUACCCCGGUAGUCCUAGCUGUAAACGAUCUGUACUAGUCCGUGGGGGCUCCCACACCCUCUCGGACGUAGCGAAAGUGUUAAGUACAGCGCCUGGGGAGUAUGGUCGCAAGGCUGAA
rnacentral:rRNA from 1 species